rnacentral:rRNA from 1 species
GAUGAACGCUAGCGGCAGGCCUAAUACAUGCAAGCCGGACGGCAAGUUGAGUAGCAAUACUUGACCUAGAGUGGCGUAAGGGUGCGUAACACGUAUGCAAUCUGCCCACAGCCGGGGAGAUAGCCCCUCCGAAAGGAGGAUUAAUAUCCCAUAGGAAGAUGAGAUGGCAUCAUUUUAUUUUUAAACUACGGGGCUGUGGAUGAGCAUGCGGUUGAUUAGCUAGUUGGCGGGGUAAAGGCCCACCAAGGCGAUGAUCAAUAGGGGACCUGAGAGGGUGAUCCCCCACACUGGCACUGAGAUACGGGCCAGACUCCUACGGGAGGCAGCAGUAGGGAAUAUUGGACAAUGGGUGUAAGCCUGAUCCAGCCAUGCCGCGUGCAGG